GUAAGCAGUUUGUGACGUAACAUCGGUGCGCAGCGGUAAUGCGGGACGGAUUGCUGGGUAGCACAGGUUGCUAACGUGCUGCGUUCAUAAACAUUUCGAGGAAAUUAUUGUCCAACUUUGUCAAUGGGGAACAUGCAAACCCGUCACUCAUUGCCCAGAGCGUGUAGAGGGCGGAAUACAAUUUUCUACAUUUCCAAAACCCAAACGGAGUCUGGAAUAACGCAAGAAAUGGAUCAAGGCCUGCUGCCGACCUCAUGUCCUGUUGAAUGAAAUUGUCAUCGACGGCGACUACUACAUGUACAAAGAGGUUUGAUCUACUUCUGCAUGGGGGCGGAGCUGGUUUCAUGUCAGAUGCAUUCAUAGUGGAAUAAAUCACUAAAGAAGCAACACAUAUUUGUAAGAUUACCAUGGCACCCACCAUAAGAGGGAGACAUCCCUUUAAGGGCUUCCUAACACCGGAGGACAUGUGAAAGUGUGAGAAGGACUACCAGAGACAACAACAGCAGCAUGAAUGUCGCCAGAGGAUCCCUUCUCUCACCCAACCACCCUGUUAGAACCUCACAACCUGUUUCAAAUGAAAUUAGCAUAAUUAAGAAUUAACAUGCAUUAAUUGUUGUGUUCAAUGCAAACUGAGGACAAAUGUGUCAUUUCCUGCGGAAGAACCGCUAAAUGCUUUGUCACCUCCCCAGAGGCGUCAUAGGUGAAAACAUAAUAAAUGACUAAAUAAAAUGGAGAACAAGCAACUGUUUUGUCUA